CCUCCCACCCGUGUUUAUUUUACCUUGUUGCUUCGGCGGGCCCGCCUUUACUGGCCGCCGGGGGGCUCACGCCCCCGGGCCCGCGCCCGCCGAAGACACCCCCGAACUCUGUCUGAAGAUUGAAGUCUGAGUGAAAAUAUAAAUUAUUUAAAACUUUCAACAACGGAUCUCUUGGUUCCGGCAUCGAUGAAGAACGCAGCGAAAUGCGAUACGUAAUGUGAAUUGCAAAUUCAGUGAAUCAUCGAGUCUUUGAACGCACAUUGCGCCCCCUGGUAUUCCGGGGGGCAUGCCUGUCCGAGCGUCAUUGCUGCCCUCAAGCCCGGCUUGUGUGUUGGGCCCCGUCCUCCGAUUCCGGGGGACGGGCCCGAAAGGCAGCGGCGGCACCGCGUCCGGUCCUCGAGCGUAUGGGGCUUUGUCACCCGCUCUGUAGGCCCGGCCGGCGCUUGCCGAUCAACCCAAAUUUUUAUCCAGGUUGACCUCGGAUCAGGUAGGGAUACCCGCUGAACUUAAGCAUA
rnacentral:rRNA from 1 species